rnacentral:misc_RNA from 1 species
GGAAAAAAAAGGCCAAAAUCAAAAUUUACAGUUGCAUUGAGAUAUAAGGUUGGUCGAUAAGUGUUGUUGCAGGAGCUUGUUACGUGAUGUGGCAAACUGCAAAGUAAAACCUAUGCAACUACUACUGAAGCUCAAGUGAAAGGAAAAUGGUUUAUAUAAUCAUUUAUUGUUUUCAGACAAUGUGAUGGAUCUCGUGUUAAGUAUUUUUAAUUUAUAAAUGUUUUGUUUCCUGUCUCAUCUUAAUUUUC